GAUUAUUUCUAGCAUUACUUCUAGGGCAAAGUCUUGACCAGCAGCAUAAGAGAAAGAAAACCUCAGCAGAUUCCUCAUGUUGCCUGGCCUCUUGUGGAGUCACUGGAGUGAUAAGCUCUGUGAACUGGUAAACACUAAUGCUGGGACCUGGGCCCCUUUGCUGCAGUGCUGCAAUGCUUGCACCUAGAAACACCUCUC